rnacentral:lncRNA from 1 species
GCCACGAGAGGGAAGUCCAGUCACAGCAGACAACUUUGCGGGCAGCAGCUGAGCAGAGGAGAAGAUGGGGGGCUUUACUCAUAACAAGUGGCCAUAAAAGAGCCCAGGAGCUGAAGCACAAAGAUACAACCAAUCUCACUUCCUCUCCUCCCGUUGCUUUGGGAAACCCAGACGAUGGAAACAGCUGGGGAGGAGGGGGCCGCUUCCUCCACAGGGACACCUGGCCUUAGGGGUUAUAAUGAAGGGUCACAGGGCCGGAGCUUGUGAGGUGUGGGUGGACCAGUGCCUUGUUAGGGAAGGGCAGGAAAAGGGGGGUAAAACCCCAUCUUCCUCAUUAUCUGUACAGUCCCCUGGGCAGAAGGAGGUGUUUCCUCCCCCGGGGAAAGCAUGCAGGUCUGUUGCUAGCUUCCCUGAACUCCAGAGCUGUUUUGUCACCCUCAGGGUGGAGGAAGUAAAUUGGGUUGCUUGGGAGAAGACUCUUCCCACCUUAUCUGAGGAUCCAUCAGGGCCAGGCAUCACUGGUGAGUGGCCUUGGGGCUGGAGCCCUUGCCCUGGUUCUUGUGAGCAUGUGCUGUGGGCUUGCUGGCAAAACAGCCUUUGGAAGUCCUGGUGGGACUCAGAGCCAGGUUCUGUGAUUGCUUUGCAGCUGCACCCACACCUGCUCCUCCUACAGGAAUUGGUGUCUGGGUCUCUCUCUAGCCCAAGCCUGCUCUGCUGGCUUGUCUGGGGAAAGAACCUUAGUUCUCAGUACU